CCCUUAGAUGUUCUGGGCUGCACGCGCGCUACACUGAUGCACUCAACGAGUUUACGACCUUGCCCGAUAGGGUUGGGUAAUCUUUUUAAAAUGCAUCGUGAUGGGGAUAGAUUAUUGCGAUUAUUAAUCUUCAACGAGGAAUUCCUAGUAAGCGCGAGUCAUCAGCUCGUGCUGAUUACGUCCCUGCCCUUUGUACACACCGCCCGUCGCUCCUACCGAUUGAGUGCUCAGGUGAAUAAUUCGGACUGCAGCAAUGUUUGGAUCCCGAACGUUGCAGCGGAAAGUUUAGUGAACCUUAUCACUUAGAGGAAGGAGAAGUCGUAACA
rnacentral:rRNA from 1 species